GGCCCCAGAGUUACAACCAUGUGAGUCUCCUGUUGCCUUCAAGACUGGAAUCCUGCAGGAAAGAAUCCAGAGUCUGCUGCUGUGGUACGGACAGACACCUGUGGUAUUGCAGAGAGCAGGGCUCCUGAUGCUAGGAUGCCCUGAAAUUUGACUGUAGUUGGGCUCUCUGCAUCCUCCAUUCCUUUGUCCUGUUUCUUUUCUAAUUCAGAUUUCCAUUAGUGAGCAAACUAUCUAUUCUUCCAAAAACAUUUCUUUUCUAUUUGUUUCAAACAAGGUUUGUCUAGAACCUAAAUCAGUUUGUGAGCCAAGACUCUGAUGCCCUUUGAAACCAUAGAGGAAAGCUCUUUAUUGGCUUGUCAGCCUGCU
rnacentral:lncRNA from 1 species